rnacentral:lncRNA from 1 species
AAGUGAAAUUCAUAGGCUAUUCCAUAUGAAAAUCUUCAAAAGAUAUCUAGUCAGGAAAGCCAAUUCACAUUCCUUUCUUGGAGUUGAUGUCUUACAUCACCUUGUUGUAGAUUUGGGAUCAUCUCUAUGCUCCCCAUCUUCCAUGAGAAAUGACUUUCUCUACAUCCUCUUUUAAGUAUACCCAAGUACCUUUCGAGAGGAUUGGAGAUCCUACUAUAUGUACGAGGU